rnacentral:lncRNA from 1 species
AGCUCUCCAGCCGCGUCAGAACUCGCAUCGGGACGCCGGCGGAGCGGCGAGCCGCGAACCUCGCUCUGGUCAGCCGCAGUUGCUGUGUGGGCUUUCGCGCUCCUCGCUGGCCCGGGACCGGACGGCUACCUCACGACGCCCCCGGAGCCCAGCGGCGCCCGCCCGAACCCAGGGUUUUCCAAGCCCGCUUCGGCAGAUCUGCGAGGACGAGCCGCCCCGACUCCUGCGCCGCCCUCCCUGCCUCGGAACACAGCCCGACAGGCCGCCGCGAAUCCUGCCGCCAAGUCGCGCCUCGCGAAGCCGAACUUACCAGGGAGGAAACAGCGGCUCGGCGGCCAUCUUAGAACCCCGCCAACAUCGUGUCUUCUGAUUGGCUCGGGCGGAUCAGCCAAUCGGCUGCGGCCGUUCUGGCUCUAUGGUCGCCCAGGGAACAGCCUGGCUUGCCUAAACGCCUCUGCUAAGAGGAGCCUGUUGAGGUUUUGUUUUUGUUUUUUGUUUGUUUGUUUGUUUGUUUGUUUGUUUGUUUGUUUUUCUCCUUUUCCUCACUUUAACCAAGCGAUUUUUUUUUAAAGUUUUGUCCUUUCCUCGCUCCUUUCCUGUGCUGGUGAACUUGGCUAAAGAAAAUGCUGACUUCGAUGCCCACCUGAGUUCAAUGGAGAACUGUAGAUGAUCUCUUCAAGGAAGGCUUUGCUUCCUUCGCUUCCUCGCCACCCCUCUCCCCAGCCUUUCCUAUCUUUUUGCGUAUAUUUGAGUGUCCACUGUGUUCCAGGCCUCAUGCAAUUCUCAACCGGAUUCCAGUUCUCCAGGGACUUUCCAGUCUGGUUGACCGAAUCAAAUCCAGCUAAGCACCCCCUACUCAGAAGUUGAUUUACCAGGCUGGCAUAGUGUAUAGGUCCUGAUGAGGGGUUUACCGGCGUGUAAAUGAGGAAAAGAGCAGAAAUUUUCACCAUGUGAAAACAGUAAAUCCAGGCGAUGAUACGGGGAUGAAGUAGGACCACUUCAGAAAUGCUUCCAUUUUCUGAAGUACUGUUCUGUACUCAGAUUAUGUUUCUAUUUUCUUGUGAUGGUUAUAUAAGAAACUACAGGGCUGAGAGAUAGCUCAGUAAGAACCUAAGUUCAUUCCACCCUCAGAAUCCGUAUUUUAAAAGCCAGGCAUGGCAGCCAGCACUGUGGAUGCAGACAGGCAGACUAGCCUACGAGGCAAGCUCUAGGCCAGUGACCACAAAAGACAGGUGGGCAACCCCUAAGGAACUACACUUUCGAGUUGUCUUCUGACCUAAUGCACAUGCAUUAGAACACAUAUAUGGCACAUGCACAUACAAAAUACAAAGCCUUGAACAAGUUU